rnacentral:rRNA from 1 species
UACGUAGGGGGCAAGCGUGGUCCGGAUUUAUUGGGCGUAAAGAGCUCGUAGGCGGUUUGGUAAGUCGGAUGUGAAAUCUCCAGGCUCAACCUGGAGGGGUCAUUCGAGACUGCUAUGACUAGAGUUCGGUAGAGGAGUGUGGAAUUCCUGGUGGAGCGGUGAAAUGCGCAGAUAUCAGGAGGAACACCGGUGGCGAAGGCGGAUCUCUGGGCCAUUACUGACGCUGAGGAGCGAAAGCGUGGGGAGCGAACAGG